rnacentral:rRNA from 1 species
CCUACGGGAGGCAGCAGUGAGGAAUAUUGGUCAAUGGGCGCGAGCCUGAACCAGCCAAGUAGCGUGAAGGAUGACUGCCCUACGGGUUGUAAACUUCUUUUAUAAAGGAAUAAAGUGAGGCACGUGUGCCUUUUUGUAUGUACUUUAUUAAUAAGGAUCGGCUAACUCCGUGCCAGCAGCCGCGGUAAUACGGAGGAUCCGAGCGUUAUCCGAAUUUUUUUGGUUUAAAGGGAGCGGAGAUGGGUAGUUAAGUCAGUUGUGAAAGUUUGCGGUUCAAACGUGACAUUGCAAUUGAUACUGGCAGUCUUGAGUACAGUUGAGGUAGGCGGAAUGCGUGGUGUAGCGGUGAAAUGCUUAGAUAUCACGAAGAACUCCGAUUGCGAAGGCAGCUUACUAAACUGCCACUGACAUUGAUGCUCGAAAGUGUGGGUAUCAAACAGGAUUAGAUACCCGGGUAGUC